rnacentral:rRNA from 1 species
AAAAUUUAAAGGACGCGGUAACCUUGACCGUGAUAAUGUAGCAUAAUCAUUCGCCAUUUAAUUGAUGGAUAGUAUGAAUGGUUGAACGAAUAUUUCACUGUCUUAAAAAGAAAUAACAAAAAACUAGGAUAAUAGUAAAGACACUAUUUCAGAUUGUAAGACGAAAAGACCCUAUAGAGCUUAACUAUAAUCUUUUUACAUAAAAAGAAUAUAAUUCCUAAAUAAAAAGAUUGGUAGUUUAGUUGGGGCGACUAUCUUUUAAAAAAAACAAAGAUAAGCAAAGUAAAUAAAAAAACUUAUUGUAUAAAACAUAAAUUUAACAGUUAUAAAAAUAGGCUAUAAUGACCCGUUGUUUUUAUAUAAAAAAUACAACGAUCAAUAAAUAAAAGCUACCUUAGGGAUAACAGGAUAAUUUUAUUCUAGAGACCUAAUCGAAAAUAAAGUUUGUCACCUCUAUGUUGAAUUAAGA